rnacentral:rRNA from 1 species
CCUACGGGAGGCAGCAGUGAGGAAUAUUGGUCAAUGGACGAGAGUCUGAACCAGCCAAGUAGCGUGAAGGAUGACUGCCCUAUGGGUUGUAAACUUCUUUUAUAUGGGAAUAAAAUGUUCCACGUGUGGGAUUUUGUAUGUACCAUAUGAAUAAGGAUCGGCUAACUCCGUGCCAGCAGCCGCGGUAAUACGGAGGAUCCGAGCGUUAUCCGGAUUUAUUUGGUUUAAAGGGAGCGUAGGUGGAUUGUUAAGUCAGUUGUGAAAGUUUGCGGCUCAACCGUAAAAUUGCAGUUGAAACUGGCAGUCUUGAGUACAGUAGAGGUGGGCGGAAUUCGUGGUGUAGCGGUGAAAUGCUUAGAUAGCACGAAGAACUCCGAUUGCGAAGGCAGCUCACUGGACUGCAACUGACACUGAGGCUCGAAAGUGUGGGUAUCAAACAGGAUUAGAUACCCUUGUAGUC